UACGUAGGGGGCAAGCGUUGUCGGAAUCAUUGGGCGUAAAGAGCGUGUAGGCGGCCCGGUAAGUCCGCUGUAAAAGUCAAAGGCUCAACCUUUGAAUGUCAGUGGAUACUGCCGGGCUAGAGUCCGGAAGAGGCGAGUGGAACUCCUGGUGUAGCGGUGGAAUGCGCAGAUAUCAGGAAGAACACCAACCGCGAAGGCAGCUCGCUGGGACGGUACUGACGCUGAGACGCGAAAGCGUGGGGAGCGAACAGG
rnacentral:rRNA from 1 species